CAGUUCUAAGAAGAAAUAGUGAAAUAGUGAGAUCGAGCUAUUUGAAAAUAGUUUAAUACAACGAGAAAUGUCUUUCAAAAUCAAUUAUCUAUCAAAGCUGUCACUGCUUAUUACAUCAUCUGUAUACAUGAAUAUGUGCUUAAUACGAUGAAAUUGUUUAGAGUGCACGCUUGGACUUUGAUACAUGGAGUUUCAAGAUAGGGACGAAUUUAUCUGCUAACUAAUACAGGCUUAUCAAUCUGCUUCGACUGUUCAUCAUUAGCAUUUCUCACUCUGGAGACCACAGACGAUUGCUUGAGCUACUGCCACUCUCUCAAUAAAUUUCGAAGACAUGUAAUUGGAUGAAACAGAUGCAGCAAGUGUAGGUUGCAGCAUUUAAUGCAUCAGUGUGCAUCUUGGUGGCUGGUACGUGGUAUUUUAAAACGCUUCAGCAUAUGUAUGUCAGCAGAUCCAGUGUACCAAGCUGUAUAAUGUAUUUACAAGAGACAUUGCAUAACUACUCUUUUUAACACCUGAGGAUCAACUUAUCAUGUAUUACGCCCGUUCAUGAACUUUAAAAUUAUUCUCCAUUCGUAACGAUCGAAGGAUGAGUAUCGUAUGUUUGCCAUUGUUGCAUAUUGGACGGAGGAGUUGGAUUUGAACGCCGAGAUUUUUAGAAGGGAUAAAUAUA